rnacentral:tRNA from 1 species
GGCGCUGUGGCGCAGUGGGUUAACGCCCUGGCCUGAAGUGCCAGCAUCCCCUUUGGGUGCCGGUUCAAAACCCGGCUGCUCCA